AUGGUGAAGCUGUUCAUCGGCAACCUGCCCCGCGAGGCGACGGAGCAGGAGAUCCGCGCGCUGUUCGAGCAGUACGGCAAGGUGCUCGAGUGCGACAUCAUCAAGAACUACGGCUUCGUGCACAUCGAGGACAAGACGGCGGCCGAGGACGCCAUCCGCAACCUGCACCACUACAAGCUGCACGGCGUCAACAUCAACGUGGAGGCCAGCAAGAACAAGAGCAAGGCCUCCACCAAGCUGCACGUGGGCAACAUCAGCUCGGCGUGCACCAACCUGGAGCUGCGCGCCAAGUUCGAGGAGUACGGGCCCGUCAUCGAGUGCGACAUCGUCAAGGACUACGCCUUCGUGCACAUGGAGCGCGCUGAGGACGCCGUCGAGGCCAUCCGCGGCCUGGACAACACCGAGUUCCAAGGCAAACGAAUGCACGUCCAGUUGUCCACCAGCCGGCUUCGGACCGCGCCCGGGAUGGGAGACCAGAGCGGCUGCUAUCGGUGCGGGAAAGAGGGCCACUGGUCCAAAGAGUGUCCAGUGGAUCGGACGGGCCGCAUGGCAGACUUGGCCGAGCAGUACACUGAGCAGUACGGAGCCGUCCGUGCGCCCUACGCCAUGGGCUACGGGGAGUCCGUGUAUUACAACAAUCCGUACGGAGCGCUUGACUAUUAUAAGCGCUACCGGGUGAGGUCUUAUGAGGCAGUGGCGGCAGCGGCAGCAGCUUCCGCGUACAACUACGCAGAGCAGACCCUGUCCCAGCUCCCACAAGUCCAGAAUCCGGCCAUGACCAGCCACCUCACCACCACCUCUCUCAACCCUUAUGACAGACACCUGCUGCCAGCCUCGGGAGCUGCCGCCGCCACCGCCGCUGUGGCCGCCGCCGCUGCUGCCGCCACUGCAGCGACAUCCUCCUAUUAUGGACGGGACCGGAGCCCCCUACGUCGAGCCGCAGCUGCAGUCCCUACCAUUGGAGAGGGCUACAGUUACGGACCCGAGAGUGAGCUGUCCCAGGCCUCGGCAGUCACCGCCACGCGGAAUUCUCUGUACGACGUGGCCCGGUACGAGCGGGACCAGUACGCGGACCGGGCGCGGUACUCAGCCUUUUAAAGCUCGAGGUAUAAACCUCGAAUAAAGUAAGGCACCUGCUGGUAUUGAGGCUGCCAGGAUGGACUUCCAGUCAGGUCUUAGGCCGGCAGGACCGAGCAAGGCCCAGCAUGCACGACACGGCCCUGGGUCUGUCAUUGUAGAGAAGGAGUUUGGUGUGAGUUAACGUUUUUCCCAGCUCUUGCUGUCUGGAGUUGCAGAAGUGUCAGGAUUAGAGGGCACAAAUUCUCUGAAGUUGGGGGAAGGUGAGGGGAAAACAGGAAGUAGAGGCUCUGGUCUGAGGAGAACAAAGGACUCUCCUUGAUGCCUGGGCCCAGCUUAUCUUUCAGACACAGCUAGAGUGACCCACAGCGCCCCACUCCCGCCUCUAGAGCCAGCCAGUCACGGCCCUUGGGCCCACCACCUGGGCUCUGCCGGGAUCCUUGUGUUGUGAUGGGAGGCCCAGAGAUGUGUGGAAACCCUCUUGCUGGGGGGCCCAAAAAAGAAAAGAAAGAGGAUGUUCUGCUUGUUCCCAGCACAGUACCCCUCGCGCUUGUGGAGCUGAGGGCAAAGUCCUGGGGAAUCGCGGGGUAGAAAUGGGGUCUGAGACUGACGCUUGUUCUUUGUUUUCUCUCAACAAACAGGAUGGCACCCAGGGCCGUAGUACUCGGCGCCGAGCUGUUCUCCGGACAUUGUAUAAGCCUCUUGUGUUAUGCUCUCUUUCAGCCUCUGAGCAGCCCUGGCUGUGGGAAGGACUCUGCUGGCCUUGCCCCCUCCUGAGGGAACCGAGGAGCCCUUCUCCCUCCCUGGCUUCUCCCGGGAGUUCAGCUCCUUUCUUUGGCCACCAGCAGUAGGAUCUCCUGUCCCUUACUGGGGCUCUCUAGUGUCAGAUUGCCCGUUUCCUUCCAUUCUCCAUCCGCUCUGGACUUAAUCCUACAGCUGGCGUGCUAGGAUCCGGGGGAGCCGCCGUGGGGGGAGCGGGGAGAGGUCUUUCUGUUGACCUGCGAUCAUGGUAAACUCAUCCCCUCCUCCCCACCCUCCCCCUUUUAUUUUGAACAAAUAAAUGUUUCUAAUGAUCA